rnacentral:rRNA from 1 species
UGGGGAAUAUUGCGCAAUGGGGGAAACCCUGACGCAGCGACGCCGCGUGUGGGAUGAAGGUCUUCGGAUUGUAAACCACUGUCGCGAGGGACGAAGCUCUGACGGUACCUCGAAAGGAAGCACCGGCUAACUCUGUGCCAGCAGCCGCGGUAAUACAGAGGGUGCGAGCGUUGUUCGGAAUUACUGGGCGUAAAGCGCGGGCAGGCGGUCUGUUAAGUCGUUUGUGAAAAUCCGGGGCUCAACCCCGGAAAUGCAUACGAUACUGGCAGGCUGGAGACUGGUAGAGGCUAGCGGAAUUCCUGGUGUAGCGGUGGAAUGCGUAGAUAUCAGGAAGAACACCUGUGGCGAAGGCGGCUAGCUGGGCCAGUUCUGACGCUCAUCCGCGAAAGCGUGGGGAGCAAACAGGAUUAGAUACCCCAGUAGUCCCUGAG